rnacentral:rRNA from 1 species
UAGGGAAUCUUCGGCAAUGGACGAAAGUCUGACCGAGCAACGCCGCGUGAGUGAAGAAGGCUCUCGGAUCGUAAAACUCUGUUGUUAGAGAAGAACAAGGACGUUAGUAACUGAACGUCCCCUGACGGUAUCUAACCAGAAAGCCACGGCUAACUACGUGCCAGCAGCCGCGGUAAUACGUAGGUGGCAAGCGUUGUCCGGAUUUAUUGGGCGUAAAGCGAGCGCAGGCGGUUUCUUAAGUCUGAUGUGAAAGCCCCCGGCUCAACCGGGGAGGGUCAUUGGAAACUGGGGGACUUGAGUGCAGAAGAGGAAGGUGGAAUUCCAUGUGUAGCGGUGAAAUGCGUAGAUAUAUGAAGGAACACCAGUGGCGAAGGCGGCUCUCUGGUCUGUAACUGACGCUGAGGCUCGAAAGCGUGGGGAGCAAACAGG